CCUACGGGGGGCAGCAGUGAGGAAUAUUGGUCAAUGGACGAGAGUCUGAACCAGCCAAGUAGCGUGAAGGAUGACUGCCCUAUGGGUUGUAAACUUCUUUUAUAAAGGAAUAAAACGAGGCACGUGUGCCUUUUUGCAUGUACUUUAUGAAUAAGGAUCGGAUAACUCCGGGCCAGCAGCCGCGGUAAUACGGAGGAUCCGAGCGUUACCCGGAUUUAUUGGGUUUAAAGGGAGCGUAGAUGGGUUGUUAAGUCAGUUGUGAAAGUUUGCGGCUCAACCGUAAAAUUGCAAUUGAUACUGGCAGUCUUGAGUACAGUUGAGGUAGGCAGAAUUCGUGGUGUAGCGGUGAAAUGCUUAGAGAUCACGAAGAACCCCGAUUGCGAAGGCAGCUUACUAAACUGUGACUGACAUUGAUGCUCGAAAGUGUGGGUAGCAAACAGGAUUAGAUACCCCGGUAGUC
rnacentral:rRNA from 1 species